rnacentral:rRNA from 1 species
CAUGCAAGUCGAACGGAAAGGCCAGUGCUUGCACUGGUACUCGAGUGGCGAACGGGUGAGUAACACGUGGGUGAUCUGCCUUGCACUCUGGGAUAAGCUUGGGAAACUGGGUCUAAUACCGGAUAGGAACCGUCUUUAGUGUGGUGGUUGGAAAGUUUUUUCGGUGCAAGAUGAGCUCGCGGCCUAUCAGCUUGUUGGUGGGGUAAUGGCCUACCAAGGCGUCGACGGGUAGCCGGCCUGAGAGGGUGUACGGCCACAUUGGGACUGAGAUACGGCCCAGACUCCUACGGGAGGCAGCAGUGGGGAAUAUUGCACAAUGGGCGGAAGCCUGAUGCAGCGACGCCGCGUGGGGGAUGAAGGCCUUCGGGUUGUAAACUCCUUUCGUCAGGGACGAAGUUUUUUUGACGGUACCUGGAUAA